UGACCAAAUCGCAUUGAAACACUAGUUCCUGUACAAUCACCAAAGUUAAGCAACAUUGAGUCUUGUCAGUACCUAGAUGGGUGUCCACUUGGGAAUACCAGGUUUUGUAAG